GAAGCGGAGAAGGACUACGUCUUUGACAAAAGGCUCAGAUACAGUGUCCGCCAGAAUGAAAGCAACUGUCGGUUUCGAGACAUCGUUGUGCGGAAGGAAGAAGGGUUCACGCACAUCCUGCUGUCCAGUCAGACCUCGGAUAACAAUGCCCUGACACCUGAGGGAGCUGAGGAUGGUAACUAGCGUGCAUAAAAACUUGACUGCAGCGCGCAAUUUGCUCAUCAUUUUACAUACAUUAUCCCAUUUGAUCUUUAUGACCGUGUAAUGAUACCCUCUCAUCUUAUGGAUGAAGACCAUGGGGAGAGGGACUCACUGAACUGAUCGUGGACACAGACUUAGCCAAGGGGCAGACCCAGAAUCCAAACAUCACAUCUUGGGCUUUUCCAGCUAAACUUUGUUGUCAUCAGCAUGUCAUAUUUGUUGGCCGCAGAUAUAAUUCACUCAGUUAAUGUA
rnacentral:lncRNA from 10 species